AGAGUUGAUCAUGGCUCAGGAUGAACGCUGGCGGCGUGCCUAACACAUGCAAGUCGAACGGAGUUACGAGAGCUUGCUUUGUAACUUAGUGGCGGACGGGUGAGUAAUGUAUGAGCAACCUGCCUUUCAGAGGGGGACAACAGUUGGAAACGACUGCUAAUACCGCAUAAUGUAUUUUGAGGGCAUCCUCGGGAUACCAAAGGAGCAAUCCGCUGAAAGAUGGGCUCAUAUCUGAUUAGCUAGUUGGUGGGGUAACGGCUCACCAAGGCUGCGAUCAGUAGCCGGACUGAGAGGUUGAACGGCCACAUUGGGACUGAGAUACGGCCCAGACUCCUACGGGAGGCAGCAGUGGGGAAUAUUGGGGACCAAGUGGGGGCAACCCUGACCCAGCGACGCCGCGGUGGGGAAGACGGCCUUCGGGUUGUAAACCUCUUUUGUACGGGAAGAAGGAAGUGACGGUACUGUACGAAUAAGUCCCGGCUAACUACGUGCCAGCAGCAGC
rnacentral:rRNA from 1 species